GGGUUGUGAGGUUAAGCGAAUAAGCGUACACGGUGGAUGCCUAGGCAAUCAGAGGCGAUGAAGGACGUGCUAAUCUGCGAAAAGCGUCGGUAAGGUGAUAUGAACCGUUAUACCCGACGAUAUCCGAAUGGGGAAACCCAGUAUCCAAUGGAUACUAUCAUUAACUGAAUCCAUAGGUUAAUGAGGCGAACCGGGAGAACUGAAACAUCUCAGUACCCCGAGGAAAAGAAAUCAACCGAGAUUCCCCUAGUAGCGGCGAGCGAACGGGGAGCAGCCCAGAGUCUUAAUCAAUAGCAGUGUCAGGAGAACGGUCUGGAAAGUCCGGCAGUAAAGGGUGAUAGCCCCGUAUCUGAAGAUGCUGUUAUUGUGAACUCGACGAGUAGGGCGGGACACGUGUUAUCCUGUCUGAAUAUGGGGGGACCAUCCUCCAAGGCUAAAUACUCCUGAUUGACCGAUAGUGAACCAGUACCGUGAGGGAAAGGCGAAAAGAACCCCGGCGAGGGGAGUGAAAAAGAACCUGAAACCGUGUACGUACAAGCAGUAGGAGCCCCAUCACUCAAGUGCCUCGCACUGAGUGAUGCAAUAACAUCACCGAAAAUAGCGCCGAAUUUGCUAACAAGGUUGGUCGAUUUUUUCAAGCCGUCGCGCAGUGUACCUAGAAGUACACGAGCAACGGAAGUUAAAAAAUCGGGCAAGAUUGAACGCAAAGGCAAGCGGGACAUUUGAGGAUGGGGUGACUGCGUACCUUUUGUAUAAUGGGUCAGCGACUUAUAUUCUGUAGCGAGGUUAACCGUAUAGGGGAGCCGUAGGGAAACCGAGUCUUAACUGGGCGAAUGAGUUGCAGGGUAUAGACCCGAAACCCGGUGAUCUAUCCAUGGGCAGGUUGAAGGUUGGGUAACACUAACUGGAG
rnacentral:rRNA from 1 species